rnacentral:rRNA from 1 species
AGAGUUUGAUCCUGGCUCAGGACGAACGCUGGAGGUAUGCCUCAUACAUGCAAGUCGAACGAGAUUUGAUAGAGCUUGCUCUAUCGAUGAGAGUGGCGCACGGGUGAGUAACGCGUGGGUAACCUGCCUCGAAGUUUGGGAUAACAUUGGGAAACCAAUGCUAAUACCGACUAAUUUUUAUUACUGUAUGGUGAUUUAAUAAAAGAUGCCCUCUUCUAUGGUAUCGCUUCGAGAGGGGCCUGCGUCCUAUUAGCUAGUUGGUGGGGUAACAGCCUACCAAGGCGAAGAUGGGUAGCCGGCUUGAGAGAGUGAUCGGCCACACUGGAACUGAGACACGGUCCAGACUCCUACGGGAGGCAGCAGUAGGGAAUAUUCCGCAAUGGGCGAAAGCCUGACGGAGCAAUACCUCGUGAGUGAUGAAGGCUUUAGGGUCGUAAAGCUCAGUCAGCAGGGAAGAAGGGUUAUGGUUCGAAUAGGGCUAUAGUUUUGACGGUACCUGCAGAGGAAGCCACGGCUAAUUACGUGCCAGCAGCCGCGGUAAUACGUAAGUGGCAAGCGUUGUCCGGAUUUACUGGGCGUAAAGAACGCGUAGGCGGUUUUCUAAGUUGGGGGUGAAAUCCUGAGGCCCAACCUCAGGCCUGCCUCCAAAACUGGAGAACUAGAGUUUCGGAGAGGAAGAUGGUAUUCCAUGUGUAGCGGUGAAAUGCGUAGAUAUAUGGGAGAACACCAAUGGCGAAAGCAGUCUUCUGGACGAAUACUGACGCUGAGGCGUGAAAGCGUGGGUAGCGAACAGGAUUAGAUACCCUGGUAGUCCACGCCGUAAACGAUGGGUACUAGUUGCUGGGGAUAAUAGUCUUCGGUGACGAAGUUAACGCAUUAAGUACCCCGCCUGGGGAGUACGGUCGCAAGAUUAAAACUCAAAGGAAUUGACGGGGGCCCGCACAAGCGGUGGAGUAUGUGGUUUAAUUCGAUGCAACGCG